UUGUGGGACCUCCAGCUGUUGCACUCUGCAUUGACCUGACCCUGACACGUGUGACUGUGCAGUGAUUCAUUGUCUGAACUGGUUUAGCCGUUGGGUGUGAAAAUCUGCCGGAGAAGAUGUUUGCUGCUGAAGCUAAAGCAUUUGUCCAGACGCUGGGAGGAACAGACCUCAUCUCUAAUGAUAACUUAAACUGUAAAAUGGAUCUGCUGACUCUGGUCAAAGUCACUGAGGGAAUUUUUUGGCCGGUACAGAAGUACAAAGUGAUACACUAUAGCCUGCCCGAGCUCACCGAGGAAGAAAACUUCUCUCCAGGGGAGCAGUAAGGCGGAGACAAGCUUCACUGUGCCAGCAAAAUCCAUCUUUGCUUAUAGCCUGGUGGAGAUAAAGAUAGAGAAUGAGAAACUGAAGAUCUCAUGUGAGCCAUGGACUCGUAGUUUACUCGAUUGGCUCCUUUGUGAUGACGUAAGCAAUCCAACUGUGAAAAAAGUAAAAGAAGAACUAGAGAUGAAGGAAGCUCUACUGCAGCCGCUGGCAGAUCUUCCUGAGUCGACCCGUUGUGAUCUGCUGCAAACACUCAGCAAGCUCGUAGAGGAUGGAGACAAUCUCUCUCUGCUGGAUAAAACACUGGAUCAUUGCAGUAAUGGAGUGUUUGAGUGUGAGUCUGAGGCUGUCUCUUCCUUCAUGGACCUUCUCAAUGUCUCAAACAUCUCCACAAGUGAGCAGAAUGCUGUUCAUAUGUUGGUCAGCGCUCUGCACACUCUGCCAGAUGAAGUGCCGCCACUUCUGACCUGCUGCAGUCCAGACACUCUGAGAGUGCUCAAUCAGCUGGUGGAUGGUCUGAAGGACGGUCGGGCCAAACUGCCAGAGUCCCUGCCCGUCCCCCUGCAGGAGGGAGGGGAGCUCCGCUGGGCGGCCGAGUUCAUCUGUUUGAACGAUCAGAAGCUGAAAGAGUUGAGUGACGGCUGGGACCGGCCCGAGCUGCCCCCAGAGGUUCUGCUGGAGGUUCUGUGCCUCGCUGUGCAGGGACUCAGCCUGAUGCAGCCCACAACAAACCCUUAAUGUCAGCUGCUGUGAUCUUUGUUAAUGUGCUUUUACAGCAGCCGAUGCUUGUGAUGGUUCAGUGUCCAGUCAGGUGAAUACAGCAUAGUUUUGAUGUCCAUGGUUGAUUCAACAAUUGGUGAACUUUAUUUCAAUGUCUCACUCUGAUUUUGUUUCUUGUAUAACUCUGUCAUCUUUCAAAGAGACAAAAAGACAAAAAUAACCAACAGAAUUCACAUUUUAUUAAAGUAACAUACUUUUAUUAAGUUAUUUACAUUAUUGUUAUAGUUUAUGUCAUGGUUCCUGUAAUUUGAUGGUUUUCUUGGAUUCUUUGUGUUUGCAGACCCCACUUUAAUCAUCUGGUCUCCAACCUCUUCGUGUUCAUUUUGAGGUUUUUUUUUAACAAGUUCUUCAUAAAUACUUUUUAAAUUCCUGGUUAUUAAAGGUUUGAAAUUAUGUGAGGGAACAAGUGGAACAGUUUUUCUAUUAGAAUGAAAAAAGAAUGUUUAAAAACAUGAAUGAUGAUGCAUGAUUAAGGCUGGAAAUAAAGUUAAUACUUAGAGAAUAGUUGUAAUUUUGGGGGCAAGUCAGAAAAUCAUACACACUGUAUGGAACAUAUAACAAUUAGAAUGAGCUGCCUACCUAUAUCAUUUUUAGGAAAAUCUCAUCUUAAAUUCUGUAAUCCUAAAGUGUAUAUGCUAAACGCUGAUCUAAAAUGGGAUUGUGCUAAUGAGAGCUUAAUGUCAUGCUCAGAGGUAAAAACAGGGUCAACAAUGUAAAUGAUAUAACACAGUGAUGAGGUGUUACACCCUCUGUAACCCCUACUUGCCUUGUACUGAGUCUGAGCGUCUGGGUGUUGUUGAGGCAUAAUUGCUAAUUAUCUGCACCAGAUGAGGUGUGGCGGGUGGCAUGUCUGGGGAGAGUUUGGGGGAUGUUACUUCUAGCCUUGAAAGAAGGUUGUUAUUUUUGAUUGGAUGUUAUUUGGUCAUUUAAACUAAAAACCAAGGUUUCUGCAAAGUUUGGUAUCAGUAUCCACUUCAUGUUGCAGGUUCAUGUCCAGAUCCAAUGAUGAAGUAAUAUAGUAAAUAUAUGUUUGGCUCGAUGAACAUGCACGAAACAUUUUAUCAGAAUGAUGAAUCAUUUAAUUUUUGCUGGUUUCAGCAUAAAACACAUCUGAUAAGAAGCCUCAAUAAUGUCACAUACUUAAACUUAGGUUGGGCCAGGAGUGAUUGACCUGAUGAUCUUAACGCUCAGCGAGGAGUGUACAGAUUGAGAAGAUCAGUGAGAUAACUGACUGGGUGCAAUAUUAUUCUGAAUUUUGAAAGGGAGUAGCCAAAUUUUAAACUGACCGCAAUAUUUGAUAGGUAACCAAUUUAAUCAACAAGAGCUGGAGUGAUAGAAUCAAUUUUUCCAGCUCUGGCAAGAAGGUGAGCCGCAGGAUUCUGACAGUUGUAGCCUUUGAAGAGAGACGGAUUGGAGACUACAGUAAAGAGAAUUGCAAUAGUCACACCUGGAGGUCACAAAAGCAUGGAUCAGUUUUUCAAAGUCUCCUGUAUUGUAUAUAACGCUUAGCUUUAGAAAUCUGGCAUAGUUGAAAGAAGCUAGAUUUAACUACAGAUGACACUUUUUUGGGCUUAAAGGAGCUAUCCAAAUAGAUGCCCAGGUUAUUUAUAGAAUCAGAGAGAGAGUUAACAAGGGGCCCCAAUAGGGCAACAAGCUGUUCUUGAAGAAUAUAGAAUAGAAUAGAAUAGAAUUCAACUUUAUUGUCACUGCACAUGUCACAAGUACAAGUGCAACCCAGAGUAAAAUCUGUUUUACUAGAAUUUAGUAAUUUCCUGCACUUAUUUCCUGCCAUUGAACGCAUCACAAAUACAUGACUCCAACCACAUGACUUUGCUCAGCCGAUCGGCUAAUUGGCUGCUGCCAGUCCAAACAAUUUGAUUUAGAUUUUUGAUUUGACCGAUAGUUGUUGAAUAACAAAUGUUGUGAAGCUAUAUAUUAUGUGUAUCCGGUUGUUCAGUCUGACGUCACUAGCCGUGUCUGGGUCUAAACUCCGCUGCAGGUCCAUAUAUCAAACGAUCACUA
ensembl:lncRNA